rnacentral:RNase_MRP_RNA from 10 species
CCCUCGUCCGACAAAUCGCUAUUCGAAGCUUCCACACGGAGAGAUCACGCUUUUUUUGCGCGCUUCUUUCAUUUCCUCGAGCUUUGGGAGAAAGUCCCCGGACAUUCGUUCGCUUGCGAACGGAUUGCGGAAACGCGCCGCCAUAGAAGCACUGCGGCUGAUCUCGGCCGCCCAGUUCCUCGUCUGUCUUGCCCAGCCCUGCCCGUCACACCAAAGUCGACCUCGUCUGCUUCUCCAGGGAGGGUGUCAUCUUCCGAGCUCGGGGACCACAUGGACGAAGAUAUGAGUCCGCGCCUCGGGUGACGAGUUUGAUGCCUGAUCUGGGGAGCUGGGGUCGAUGGCGGGUUCAGCCGCUUGGGUGGUCCGGACUUGGGGCGUUUUGACGGUGGCUCGAGAGGUUUCGUCACGAUACCACAGAUAUGCGAUUGCUCGCUCUUGUUUCUCUUCGGGGAAGCUGCGGCGAAGUUACUCGACGGGGCUUAUUCUUGGUGCGAGG